AACGCACAUUGCGCCCUUUGGUAUUCCGAGGGGCAUGCCUGUUCGAGCGUCAUUACACCAAUCACGCCUGGCGUGGUAUUGGGCGACGGGAUUGCUUCAGUGUCUCCCGCGCCCCAAAGACCUUACCGGCGGGACGGACCGAAUCUCAGCGUUGUGAAUCUUUACGAGUCGCUGGCGAGACGGGACGGCCGUGCCGUGAAACCCCCCAUUUUCUCAUGGUUGACCUCGGAUCAGGUAGGGAUACCCGCUGAACUUAA
rnacentral:misc_RNA from 1 species